GAUGAACGCUAGCGGCAGGCCUAACACAUGCAAGUCGAGGGGCAGCACAGGUAGCAAUACUGGGUGGCGACCGGCGGAUGGGUGCGUAACGCGUAUGCAACCUACCAUUGAUUGGGGCAUAGCCCGAAGAAAUUCGGAUUAAUACUCCAUAAUAUUCAUCAAAGGCAUCUUUUAUGAAUUAAAGCUUUUGCGAUCAAUGAUGGGCAUGCGUGACAUUAGUUAGUUGGUGAGGUAACGGCUCACCAAAACGAUGAUGUCUAGGGGUUCUGAGAGGAUUAUCCCCCACACUGGUACUGAGACACGGACCAGACUCCUACGGGAGGCAGCAGUGAGGAAUAUUGGUCAAUGGGCGCAAGCCUGAACCAGCCAUCCCGCGUGAAGGAAGAAUGCGCUACGCGUUGUAAACUUCUUUUCCAGGGGUAGAAUAAUACCUGUCGUGACAGGACUUGACGGUACUCUGGGAAUAAGGCAUCGGCUAACUCCGU
rnacentral:rRNA from 1 species